rnacentral:lncRNA from 1 species
CUGUGAUCUAUCUCGUGCUGGCGGUAGAAUAGCUGUGUAGUCUGUUAGCUGCUGAUCUUAUUGGACCGUUUUAGGAGACAGAGCUCGAGAAUCCAGAGUGAGUCCAGCAGCCCCAGUGGAGAUCUGAGAGGAAUGGAGGAGGACAACCAGAACCAGGAGCAGCGGAGCAACCAGGUCCCCAGGAGACCAGCAGCAGACUGGGACUCUGAUACCAACGAGGUCCCCAGGAGACCAGCAGCAGACUGGGACUCUGAUACCAACGAAGUCCCCAGGAGACCAGCAGCAGACUGGGACUCUGAUAGCCGCCAUGUUCAGGACAAGAGAGGAAUGGAGGAGGACAACCAGAACCAGGAGCAGCGGAGCAACAAGGUCCUCAGAAGAGAAGCAGCAGACUGGGACUCUGAUACCAACGAGGUCCCCAGGAGACCAGCAGCAGACUGGGACUCUGAUACCAACGAGGUCCCCAGGAGACCAGCAGCAGACUGGAACUCUGAUAGCAGAAAUGUUCAGGUCAGUGUUCAGGAC